GAGUUUGAUCCUGGCUCAGGAUGAACGCUGGCGGCGUGCUUAACACAUGCAAGUCGAACGGGAAACAUUUUAUUGAAGCUUCGGCAGAUUUAGCUUGUUUCUAGUGGCGGACGGGUGAGUAACGCGUGGGUAACCUGCCUUAUACCGGGGGAUAACAGCCAGAAAUGACUGCUAAUACCGCAUAAGCGCACAGAACCGCAUGGUUCGGUGUGAAAAACUCCGGUGGUAUAAGAUGGACCCGCGUUGGAUUAGCUAGUUGGCAGGGCAGCGGCCUACCAAGGCGACGAUCCAUAGCCGGCCUGAGAGGGUGAACGGCCACAUUGGGACUGAGACACGGCCCAGACUCCUACGGGAGGCAGCAGUGGGGAAUAUUGCACAAUGGGGGAAACCCUGAUGCAGCGACGCCGCGUGAAGGAAGAAGUAUCUCGGUAUGUAAACUUCUAUCAGCAGGGAAGAUAAUGACGGUACCUGACUAAGAAGCCCCGGCUAACUACGUGCCAGCCGCCGCGGUAAUAC
rnacentral:rRNA from 1 species